rnacentral:rRNA from 1 species
GAUGUGAUGGGGAGCGAAAUUUAGUAGCGAAGUAGCUGAUUUCACACUGUCAAGAAAAGUCUCUAUCGAGGUUAAAGGUACCCGUACCGCAAACCGACACAGGUGGGUGAGGAGAGUAUCCUAAGGCUAGCGAGAGAACUGUUGUUAAGGAACUCGGCAAAAUGACCCCGUAACUUAGGGAUAAGGGGUGCCACCAUCAGGUGGCCGCAGAGAAUAGGCCCAAGCGACUGUUUACCAAAAACAUAGG